CUCAUCCAAAAUAAAAAAGAAACAGAAAGAAAGUCCAAGGAAUGGAACAAUCACAGACUUGCACGAAAAGUCUGUGUUUUUAGGUUAGUUUGAAUCAAAGACGUGUUUGUUUGUGUUAUGUUUUUUUUUUUUGUUUGUUUGUUUUUUUCCUCCUUGCUUCCGAAAACCCUAAAACAGAUUAAAACAUUUCUGACGUUGC
rnacentral:ribozyme from 14 species